GAUGAACGCUAGCUACAGGCUUAACACAUGCAAGUCGAGGGGAAACGACAUCGAAAGCUUGCUUUUGAUGGGCGUCGACCGGCGCACGGGUGAGUAACGCGUAUCCAACCUGCCCACCACUUGGGGAUAACCUUGCGAAAGUAAGACUAAUACCCAAUGAUAUCUCUAGAAGACAUCUGAAAGAGAUUAAAGAUUCAUCGGUGAUGGAUGGGGAUGCGUCUGAUUAGCUUGUUGGCGGGGUAACGGCCCACCAAGGCAACGAUCAGUAGGGGUUCUGAGAGGAAGGUCCCCCACAUUGGAACUGAGAUACGGCCCAGACUCCUACGGGAGGCAGCAGUGGGGAAUCUUCCGCAAUGGACGAAAGUCUGACGGAGCAACGCCGCGUGAACGAUGACGGCCU
rnacentral:rRNA from 1 species